GCCGGGGAGCGGGGAAUGGGGGCAGCCCCUGGGGAGGAAUGGGAGAGGGAGGAGGACGCCAGGGGCACAGGGACAGCCUCCGGGGCGGGGCGCGGCGCCAGCCUAGCCCGAGGAUGGAGGCUGAGGCCGCCUGUUGAGUCACAGGUAAGGGGAGCCGCUCUGGCCAGGCCCAGGGCCGCCCUCGUUCCUCCCGGAGCGCAGCGACAGCUCCUCCCCGCGUCUCGGGUUUCAAUGGCUGGGCCUGCCCGAAAGCUCUGGGCCCCCGCGUCCCAAUUUUUUCUUUAUUUUUGAAGGAUAAUAUUGCUGGACAUAGAAUUCUUUGUUGACAUUGGUCAGCUCUUUGAAUAUGUCAUCCAGUAUCUUCUGGCCUCCGUGGUUUAUGGUUUUGGCAGAGUUCAAAGACUGGGAAGCAAAGUUCAGCCAUGUUGGGCCUUUGGGCUCAUAGAUGAGCAAGGGUACCCCAAUAUGAGGGCUCAGCAAAUUCUGGAACUUAUCAGUUCUGAAGACCUUUAGAGGAGAAGGAGACAAGUAAAAGGGUUGGCCUUGCGUAUUGGCAAUGAAACAGGCUAUUUUUGACAUUGAGUUGUCCAGCAUUCUCUAAGGUAUGUAGUCCUGGAGGGCGCUGCUUAAUGAACCAGAAGUCCUGCCUCUUAAGUACCUCACCAGCUCAAAUGUGUGCAUGUCACCUUGGCGUGAAUCGGAGCAGGCGCUGGUGGAUACCGUUUGGAGGCAUGCCAGCAAGGAGCUCCUUGUGUAGCCUGCCUCUGGAGCCUCAAGUUCAACUUCCAUAGGGCCAAAAGGGGAGUCGGGCUGGGCAGAAGCUCCUGAGAACCAAAGCAAAUGGUCUGAGAGUCUGAGAGUGUAGUGGAGGUAACGUGUUCGUGUCCUCUCUGGCUGCAUCACCCCAAGUCCUUGCAGACUCAAGUAGCCUAUUUGCAAGUUUAAAUAGUUUGAGUCCUGGCCGGUAACAAGAAUACUCUACAGUGGCCCAGAGUCAGGGAUAUAGAGUGGCGACUACUUGGCAGAACUGGAGCUUGCUCAGAUGAAAAGAUAAAUUGUACUGGUUAAACGAAGAUCAAGUGCAGGGUCUGGACUUUGUUUCUAUCUUUCAUGUGGACUCUAUAAGCACCUACACACAGCAUUCUAGAAACACUGCUCCCAUCCCUCCUGUCUCAUGUCAUCCUCCCAAUUCCGGGAGUUGGGGGGCAUACUCUUUCCCUGUGUCAUGUGAGAAAUUCCUUUCUCAUGGGAAGCAGGUGGCAUUCCUGGACUCUCCUUGGCCUGGCCGUUGGUAAGCACAGGAAUUCAAGGUGUCUGAAUCUCUUGUCAAAGGUGGGCUGUAAGGCUCCAGAAGAGGAGGACAGAAAGUGCCUGCAGAGCUCCUGCCUGAGGCCUUUGGAUGGGCCCUGCUGGCUUGCCGUGUGUGUGUGUGUGUGUGUGUGUGUGUGUGUGUGUGUGUGGUGUCGUGCUUAUUUGCCCCAAAUGAGGCAAGAGAGCAGUGAUCAGGUGUCUCCCCAGCAUCUAGUUUCAUGAAGACAAUAGAAGUGGGUCGGAUCAGGCCUGCUGCCAUGCUUGGCUUGCCCAUGUCUCCUAGGAUUGGCUGCCUGGUGGCCAUCCCUUUGCCAUCCCCUUGACUGCCCUGUGAAUGAUGUCCACUCUGAGACCCCAGGCCACUCAGAAAAACUGAAGAUUCUCAAGUUCAGGUGCAGUUAGGGGGCAGGUCCUGGUGGUGGGGGAGCUUUGAUGUUCUGCAGUUGGAGGAUCCUCUUUCAGAAUAGUAAUGCAAUUUGUGAAUUAAUAAAAUUAGGUAUGCAAGAGGAUAUGUAGAAAAGAAAAAUCACAAGCUACACAAUUUUUAAGUUGACAAAACUACGAACAUCACAAAAUAAUAUGAUAUUUUAAAUUAAUUAUCUGCCUGGAAUACUCUGUCAUUUUUUUUUGAUCUUUUGCCUGCAUCGUCUUUGAUAGCAGUGUUUUUGAUAUUGCUUUUUAUAGAGAGACUCAAGAUAAUGGAGUCUACUCUGUUGUGGUUAAUUAAACAUUUUUUGGUGUUAUUCAUAGUUUGAGAUGUUUCUUUUAGCUUCUCAACCUGCUAUACAGAUAAAAAGCACUUUCAUGUCAGGUAAAUAUUUAGAAUUGUUGCCAAAUUUUAAAUUUCCUCCAUCAAUUUUCUUUCAUAUGUCAUAUAUGAGUUGUGAGAUUUGGAAGGAUAUUUCAGACCAGCUUCUGUAUCUAUUUUUUUCUCUAAUCACAUGCUACUGGUGGUGUGGACAGUAGUAGCACAUGACCAUAUCAGGACAUGAUCUAUCUUGGUGUCAUGGCUCUCAGUGAGUCUGCUUGGAGGGUAGUAGAAGUAUCCCUGGACGUCAUUCCUACACCAGGACAGCAAUAACUUAGCUCUCCAAGGAAGUUACUGUGAACCACAUGCACAUAUUCUACUCAAGUCAAUGUGCCCCCAACUCAAUUUGUCCUUAGCUAGACCCCAAAAGUUCUCAUGGGGAGUCUCACUCCCCUUCCACUUAACAUGAUGGAAGGCCUGAUUGGAGGGGGGCGUCAGCAGUGGGAAGAGACACAGCCUUCACUGAUUGCAGCUAAAAUGUCUUACUUUUGAAAAUAGGACAAAAACAUAUGACCAUGUGCAUAUACUGCUGAAGCCCCUCCCUGGGCCAUGCAAGGUGCCUAUGUGAGUGCAAGUGAGAUGCCCGGAAGUGUAAGUUUCAUCUGCUCAGGAAAGGGCCAGGUAUUGCCUGGUAUCACAUUCCAGGGGAAAGGAAGAGACAGUCAAGGCCUUAUGGCUCUUAACUUUGAUCUUAGUGCUUCGUAUUUUCCAUUCUGCAUGAUACAAAAACAGAUUUAAAUCAUGUUCUAGAUAGAGAUGAAAAGCAUUUUCACUUUUGGCAGGUCGUGGAACAUCAAUCAAUAUUUGUUAAUUGGUUGAACUGGAUGCAUAAUUGGAAAGCUAAUGGAAGGAGAUAUGUUUUACAAGGAAGGGCCCUUGGUGAUCACUGAUUAGUCAUUUUUACAGAUAGCAAAGCCAGGAAGGGGAAUGACUGUCUGAAGGUGGCAGUGAAUGACAGAGCUGAGGCCCAUGGCAAGGUGCACUAGUACACUCUGCCUUUGCAUGACUGUAAGCAAUUAAAGUCUCAUCAGAAGUCAUUGUGAGUUAAUACACGGAGCAAAUAUAGGUGCAGAUGUCUAGAAGCAACAAUGGCAUUUACAGUGAAGCCAAACAUUGAAGGUUUACUGUAAAAUGUUGCACUGAAUUCUUUAUAUACACCUGUUUUGGUUAGUCAUUAUUCUCUCCAGUCUGUGGGUUACAUGCCCCUUGCUGACCCACAGUACCAUGCCACAAGAUAGGCAGUGUAUUGGCCAGGUGCACACCUGGCAAAAGUCUACUCUGCUUAGGUUCAGCUGUGGAUGGGUUCUGUGCGCCUUGGAUGGGGUCGUGAAAACUGUGGGACUACAGGACUGGGCUUGUGGGCAGAAGAGUCAUAGGGCACUCUGCCUAGGAAAAGGGAAAGGGGCCUGUUCCUACCAGGUGCUCUGCGGAGUGUCCACACUGCAGGGAAAGGCUCAGGUCUGAAUAGGAGGUGCAGACUUUGUGUCUACAGGACCCUGCAAACCUGAGGCCUUGUGGAGGUUUGGUCAAGAUGGAGAGGCCAGUUAGCGGCGUACCAUGGGCUAGACUGUCCAUGACGUGGAGUAAAAGGCAGCUAUUGGCACUGAGCUAACAACAGUGGGAGGUGGGGCCUCAGUGGAAGUGGAUUGCUUGCUUCUCAUCCUGCCUCCAACACUUGGUACCCACAUGACCCUGCACAAGGAACCUGUUUGUCCCAUCUGAGCCUCUGCAUCUUGGGCUGUCAAAAGCCAAGAAAAAAAAAUUGUAAGACUGAUCUCAUAGGGUCGUUACGAGAAUUAAAUGAGAUAAUCCAUGUAAAGCAACUGACAUGUAAAAAUAACAAUAAUGAAAG
rnacentral:lncRNA from 10 species